rnacentral:rRNA from 1 species
AUGGGAUGGAGGCGAAGGGAUAUACCAUUAUUAUUUUCUCUCUUCCUUCGCUGUCCUGCUGCUGGUGCUGCAGUGCUGAUGCGCGUAUGGCCAAUCAAUCAGCUUUGUCACGUGAGUCUUUCCUUUUGUUUUCCUUUCGUUUCCGUUUGUUUUUUCCUAUGGACUUUGCUCCUCGAGAUGCUGCACUUUCAUUCUUUGCCAAGAAGUUGUAGGGCAAGACCUUUAGUGCAACGAGCCGGAGGAAACCCAAACUGGCCACGGCCGAGCCAUAGGGGAUACUCACGUUCUAAAACUAAACGCGGCAGCCGACUACGACAAUGUACCGCCUCCGGGCCAAAUGCCUGA